rnacentral:rRNA from 1 species
GGGUUGUGAGGUUAAGCGACUAAGCGUACACGGUGGAUGUCCUGGCAGUCAGAGGCGAUGAAGGACGUGCUAAUCUGCGAUAAGCGUCGGUAAGGUGAUAUGAACCGUUAUAACCGGCGAUUUCCGAAUGGGGAAACCCAGUGUGAUUCG